AGAGGGACAGAGAGAGAGAGAGAGAGAGACAGAGAGAGAGAGAGAGAGAGAGCGCGAGAGAGAGGGGAAGAGGGACAGAGAGAGUUCGGCACUGCAGCUGUCUACAGAUCAGAUCUCACUUCUCUCUGUCAGACAGUUUUUUUUGCAUCGAGUUUGGAAGACCAGACGUGUUCUAAAGACUGGGACACCAUGAGUUCUAAUCUAGAACACUAAGACGUGAGUUCUAGAAAAACUGGAGCAUGACUUCUGGAACACUAAGAUAUGAGCUCUGGAACACUAAGACAUGAGUUCUGGAACACUAAGAUAUGAGUUCUGGAACACUAAGAUAUGAGUUCUAGAACACUGGAGCAUGAGUUCUGGAACACUAAGAUAUGAGUUCUGGAACACUAAGAUAUGAGUUCUAGAACACUGGGAUGUAAACUCUUAAGACCAAGGUGUCACACGCGUUUGCUCAUACAUGUUAUGGAAUGGUCAUGACGUGACGUCACUGGCUGAAGAAGAGAACACGUAAACAAACGCAAGUAAUAGAUCAAGUCCUGAAUGGCACCCUACUGCCUAUAUAGUGCACUGCUUUUAAACCAGAGCCAUGCAUUUAGAGUUGAUAGCGCCCCAUUAACAUGACAUGGGGAAUAUUUAAACACAAUGCUCUCUAAGUGAAGAUCUAGAAUGAUGUAUUUACAUGACAAUACAACAUUCUAUAACAGCCAUGUUAGAUCUCCAUUAACAUUACAUGGGGAAUAUUUAAACAAUGCUCUCUGGUGAAGAUCUAGAAUGAGAACAAUAUUGAACAUUCUAGAAGCUUAUCUCUCUACAUACAUGUCUCUGCUUUUAGCCAUCUCCCACGGUUACCACUACAUAGCGAACAGGCCAGACAGUUCAGAGUCCAAACAGAGUAAUGGAAGAACAUUCUGGAAGAGAACCAGUGUCUCCUGGCUCCUCUUGAAACCUCUUCAGACCAGUUGGUUCCAGCUGGAGUUGGUUCUGUUUCUGUUGGGUUAAACCAAACCGCAGGAACAGAGGGGUGCCAGUGAUGUUGGUACAGUCCAUGUUGAUGGGAGCUAGUGGGUGAAGGUGUGGCUAGUUGGGUUUCCGUUAGCUAGUUUGGUUCUGUUGGGUUAAACCAAACCGCAGGAACAGAGGGGUGCCAGUGAUGUUGGUACAGUCCAUGUUGAUGGGAGCUAGUGGGUGAAGGUGUGGCUAGUUGGGUUUCCGUUAGCUAGUUUGCUGUUGAAUGGGGCUGUUCUGGUAAUGGCAUUGUGUAUAAUGCUAUAAGAUGUAUAUACAGUGUCAGUCAAAAGAUAGGACACACCUACUCAUUUAAGGGUUUUUCUUUAUUUUUACUAUUUUCUACAUUGUAUGGAAACAUGUAGUAACCAAAAAAAAGUGUUAAAUACGAAUAUAUUUUAUAUUUCAGAUUCUUUAUAGCAGCCACCCUCCCCCUUGAUGACAGCUUUAUAGCAGCCACCCUCCCCCUUGAUGACAGCUUUAUAGCAGCCACCCUCCCC
ensembl:lncRNA